GGAGGGUGCAAGCGUUAAUCGGAAUUACUGGGCGUAAAGCGCACGCAGGCGGUUUGUUAAGUCAGAUGUGAAAGCCCUCGGCUUAACCGAGGAACUGCAUCGGAAACUGUUUUUCUUGAGUGCAGAAGAGGAGAGUGGAACUCCAUGUGUAGCGGUGGAAUGCGUAGAUAUAUGGAAGAACACCAGUGGCGAAGGCGGCUCUCUGGUCUGCAACUGACGCUGAGGCUCGAAAGCAUGGGUAGCGAACAGGAUUAGAUACCCUGGUAGUCCACGCCGUAAACGAUGUCGACUUGGAGGUUGUGCCCUUGAGGCGUGGCUUCCGGAGCUAACGCGUUAAGUCGACCGCCUGGGGAGUACGGCCGCAAGGUUA
rnacentral:rRNA from 1 species